rnacentral:rRNA from 1 species
CAAUCCAUGAGUAAAGUGGCGUACGGGUGAGUAACACGUGGGUAAUCUACCUUCUGGUGGGGAAUAACAUUGGGAAACCGAUGCUAAUACCGCAUAACCCCGCAAGGGAAAAGGAGAAAUUCGCCGGAAGAGGAGCCCGCGGCUGAUUAGCUAGUUGGUAGGGUAACGGCCUACCAAGGCAAUGAUCGGUAGCCGGCCUGAGAGGGCACACGGCCACACUGGCACUGAAACACGGGCCAG